AUGUGGUCCAAUGCUAUCUAUUAUUUAUGUGACAUUGUAGCUUUGUUAUCAAAUCUAGUAGCAUAAAAAUUAUAAAAGAUUAUAGAACAUACAGUUCAUAGAGUACAAAAUAUACAUGGCCUGUAAUGAUCAAUUUUUUUUUACUUCACUCCUUUCCCAUCAUAUUUGCAACAGUCAAAUGUCUCCAGAAUAUCUAUUAUUUAUAAAUAUAGUGUGAAUUAUGUGCUCUCCAUGAAAGUGUAAAAUUUUAAUGUGUUUUAACAGCAUUCUAAAUGUAAUGUUUGUGUAUUUUGACUUAUAUUACACUUGUGGAGCUUAUGUAAAUGCUACCACUUAUUAAUAACUUCAUUGUUUUUAAUAAAAGUUGCAAUCACGGUAAAUGACUUCAACAGAAGACUAAUCCUAUAAAUUAUGCUGAUGUACAAUGUAAUAUUAUGAGGUAGUUGAAGUAUUUUAGUAAAUCAAUGUUGAUAAAUAAAAGUCAUUAAGACCUUCUCAUGUGGGUAAAGUAAAAUUGUAGAGAAGAAGGUUUUGAUGAUAUAAUUUCUAUUACAUAUUCUAAGUCAUAUUCUAAGUCUAAAACUUUAUAUUAUUGUAAGUACUGUAUAUGUCUACAUUCAAAUACAUUGAAAAUUAUCUAGAAAGAACUGGUACUUAUGUUUUAAAAAUAAUUUUUAUUUUUCAACUGAUCUUUAUUUUAUUUAUUUAUAUGCAGUGCUGAGAAUCAAACCCAGUGCCUCACACAUGCUAGGCAAUCACUGGAUCACUGAGCCAGAACCCCAGCCUAUGUUUUAAUCUUGGACAUAGAGGAGGACCAAGGAAUGUUAAAAGUUUGGUGGCAAUAGGACUUUUUUUUCCUUUUCCACAGCAAUAGGACUUUUAUAUAUAUUAUUUAGGUUAUACAUAGCUUGACUGCACUCAUUUUUUAUUUGUUUAAAUAAGUAUAUAUUUUUUUAAAGAACAUAAGAAUGUGUAAAAUGGUCAUGGGCAAAUAUUGGGGCUGAUUGAUCAAUGAUGUAAAGCAAGAACCACAAAAGUGAAACAUGGCAGCUAUUUUCUGCUAAAAAUAUGCUUAGGGUGGUAGCAACCAAUGAUCCACCUAAAAGAUAAAUUUUCAUUUUGCAGUCAAAUAUAAUAUCAGAUAUCAAGAAAGAUUCAAGUUGUUAGCAUUCUGUGAUUUUCAUUGAAUCAAAAUCUUUAUCAAGCUCUUUUUCAAGAGCUCUUCUAAAACUUUGCUUCUCAUAUAACUUGUUUAAAAGGGAAAGUGGGGUGUUUCUUGCUUGAAUGAUAUAUCUGUCCUGUAUGGUAAUUGCAUUUGUUAUUACAAAUUAAUAAAUUGUACUUCUGCAUUGUUUAAAAAUAUUUCAGUUGUAGGAUGUAAUAAGUAUGAUUUCACUUCCUGAAUUUGGAUGAAUUCUAGGACAUAUGUAAGAUCAGGUUGUAGACUUUUCAGAUUGAAGCCUGGGCCAUGUGAACUCAUCAAAGCAGAUAACACCCAUGAUAUUGUCUUGCAGUAACCAACCUGUGCUUUCUUUUGUU
rnacentral:lncRNA from 1 species